rnacentral:snRNA from 1 species
AUCGUUUCUCCAUCCAUGGGCUAAGAUUACGUGUACUAUAUGUUCUUAUUGGCUUUAUAUCUAAUGUUUUCUGUCCGAAAACAACAUAUUAAGGUAGUUGAAUGACCCGGGAGCCAGGCUUGCUCUGUGUACCGCACAACCACCUGGUAUUAAAGUACACCAAGAACGGUGGUGCAACGA